GACAGAGGGUGCAAACGUUGUUCGGAAUUACUGGGCGUAAAGUGUGCGCAGGCGGCCGCGCAAGUCGAGUGUGAAAGCCCCGGGCUUAACUUGGGAAUUGCGCUCGAAACUACGUGGCUGGAGUGUGGCAGAGGAAGGUGGAAUUCCACGUGUAGCGGUGAAAUGCGUAGAGAUGUGGAGGAACACCAAUGGCGAAGGCAGCCUUCUGGGCCAACACUGACGCUCAUGCACGAAAGCGUGGGGAGCAAACAGG
rnacentral:rRNA from 1 species